rnacentral:tRNA from 1 species
GCGCUCGUAGCUUAAUUUGGAUAAAGUCCUAGCCACCGAAGCUUGAGAUUACGGUUCAAAUCCGUACGAGCGCA